GCCUCGUUAGCGCAGUAGGUAGCACGUCAGUCUUAUAAUCUGAAGGUUGCGAGUUCGUUCCUCACAUGGGGCA
rnacentral:tRNA from 1 species